rnacentral:lncRNA from 1 species
GGAAAAAAUAAAAAGAUAGGAUGACUCAGGAUAUGCUGGCAACUUGAGGCGGAAAAGAUGAGCUACUUAUGACUGAUGGUCACAAAAUAGGCUCUAAAACGUAUUACGAGUCACUACGGGUCGGGCACUGUGUGCGCACCCUGCCUGCAUUGUCUCAGAUGUGGUGGCCUUUCGCGGAAGUCCUCCUGCUGUCCUCACUUUAUUGUGACGCACAGAGGCUCAGAGCCUCCUUGUGAAGUACUGAUGUUAUCCUUAGCAUCUCAUCCAUCAAACAGUUCAGUUUUCUCUACAAUAUUUACUACUCCCCUCAGAUGAUUCUCUCAGCAAAUCUGGAGUAAAACUGCAGCAAAUGAUGAGGAAACAGGAAAGAAGAGAUGGAAAAAAUUAGACCAAGUACAGAAUAAGGCAAAUUUUACUUAAAAUCACACAGUUGACUUCUGACGUUCAGAAGAACCACCAGAACCAAGAAGCAUAGAACGUAGAAAAAAACAAAAUGCAGAAAUAAAA